GACGAAGGAUGCAAGCGUUAUCCGGAUUCAUUGGGUUUAAAGGGUGCGUAGGCGGCCAGAUAAGUCAGUGGUGAAAUCCUGUUGCUUAACAACAGAACUGCCAUUGAUACUGUUUGGCUUGAGUAUAGUUGCUGUGGGCGGAAUAUGACAUGUAGUGGUGAAAUACAUAGAGAUGUCAUAGAACACCGAUUGCGAAGGCAGCUCACAAAAACUAUAACUGACGCUGAGGCACGAAAGUGCGGGGAUCAAAACAGG
rnacentral:rRNA from 1 species